GAGAGCGAAUGAGUAAGGCGCAGCAGAACCUGUUGCGGGCAGCAGUACAAGAUGUCGACUGUUUUGACUUGGAGAGCGGCACCUGUGUAGACACGAACUUUACGUGGCACACGAAAAGCACGAACCGGUUUCAUCUCUAUUCGAAUGCUCUCAACAGGGGCUGCCAACUCGUGCUUAAAUAUAUCUGUAUUUACACAGCUGUUGGCACCUGCCCGGCAAUUCAAAAUAAAUCUAUAUGUAUGUAUGUAGUCUAUCAAAAUAUAUACAUUUAAUUACAUAAUUUGUUAAGUUAUACAAUAAUAAAAUUAUAUAGCGUCUAUGUGGCCCACAGGCGUUAGACCCCUAUUGUCUAAAAUGUUAACAGAUCAUUGGCCAGCUCAACGCCAAUAAAUACCGCUGCGGUUGAGGGAAAAGCACGUAUUAAUAUGGGCAGGACACCGCGAUACAACGCCUUGGGUCCCUCUUUGGCCAUCAGUUCCUUGAACACGCUUCGUAUGCCAUGCUGAUAGGUGCCCUCGGGCGCUAAAUGUUAAAUGACAGUUAGCAUAGUACUUUAAAGACACAUAAUAUCAUUUACUAACCCGAUUGCAAUCGACUCUUAAGUACAUCAAAAGGCACAGCCAAUGACCAAAAUGCAAUGCCAGCCAUGCCGCCAGCAAAUAUGGUCGAUGUGGGCGUUAUACUACCUGUCUUUGAGUGCCGUCUAGCCAAAUCUUGCAAGGCCUCGUAUAUAACAAAAUAGACACCAGUUGGUGAGUCUAUAAGG